rnacentral:rRNA from 1 species
CCUACGGGUGGCAGCAGUGGGGAAUAUUGCACAAUGGGGGAAACCCGGAUGCAGCAACGCCGCGGGAGUGAUGACGGCCGUCGGGUGGUAAAGCUCGGUCUUCAGGGACGAGAAUGACGGUACCUGAGGAGGAAGCCACGGCUAACUACGUGCCAGCAGCCGCGGUAAGACGUAGGUGGCGAGCGUUGUCCGGAGUUACUGGGCGUAAAGGGAGCGUAGGCGGGCUUUUAAGUGAGAUGUGAAAUCCUCGGGCUCAACUUGAGUGCUGCCUUUCAAACUGGAAGUCUAGAGUGCAGGAGAGGAGACUGGAAUUCCUAGUGUAGCGGUGAACUGCGUAGAGAUUAGGAAGAACACCAGUGGCGAAGGCGCUUCUCUGGACUGUAACUGACGCUGAGGCUCGAAAGCGUGGGGAGCAAACAGGAUUAGAUACCCUUGUAGUC